GAUGAACGCUAGCGGCAGGCCUAAUACAUGCAAGUCGAGGGGUAGAGCUAGCUUGCUAGCUUGAGACCGGCGCACGGGUGCGUAACGCGUAUGCAACCUACCCUUUUCUGGGGGAUAGCCCGGAGAAAUCCGGAUUAAUACCGCAUAAGACCACGAUCCGGCAUCGUGAUGUUGUCAAACAUUUAUGGGAGAAGGAUGGGCAUGCGUGCCAUUAGCUAGUUGGCGGGGUAACGGCCCACCAAGGCGACGAUGGCUAGGGGAUCUGAGAGGAUGGCCCCCCACACUGGUACUGAGACACGGACCAGACUCCUACGGGAGGCAGCAGUACGGAAUAUUGGUCAAUGGGGGCAACCCUGAACCAGCCAUGCCGCGUGCAGGACGACGGCCCUCCGGGUUGUAAACUGCUUUUGUACGGGAAUAAACCCCGCUACGUGUAGCGGGCUGAAUGUACCGUAAGAAUAAGGAUCGGCUAACUCCGUGCCAGCAGCCGCAGUAA
rnacentral:rRNA from 1 species